AGCUCAAUAGCUAGCUCUUCCAAAACAAACACUACAAAAAUACUCCUACCCCCUAACACACUAUGAACAUAUAACAAACCAUUCUACCUCUUAAGUAUCGGAGAGAGAAAAAGAAAUUGAAGCAACAGAAAAAGUACCGCAAGGGAAAGCUGAAAAAGAAAUGAAAAAACUCAGUAAAGCGAGUAAAAGCAAAGAUAAACUCUUGUACCUUUUGCAUCAUGAUUUAGCAAGUCCUAGUUAAGCAAAGAGAAUUUUAGUUUAACACCCCGAAACCAAGUGAGCUACUUCAAGACAACCUAUAAACAGGGUAAACCCUUCUCUGUGGCAAAAGAGUGGGAAGAUCUUCAAGUAGAGGCGAUAAACCUACCGAACUUGGUGAUAGCUGGUUGCCUGAGAUAUGAAUAGAAGUUCAGCUUUUUAACUUAUUUUACCCCCUGGCCCGACCUUAAACAGGAAUAAAGAAAUUAAAAAAGUUAGACAGAGAGGGUACAGCCUCCCUGUAAAAAGAAACAACUUUGUAAGAUGGAUAAAGACCACACCCACUAAAGGCAGAACACUGCAGUGGGCUUAAAAGCAGCCACCUGAAAAGAUAGCGUUAAAGCUCAAGUACAACCCCGCCAUUAAUAACAGCCACCAAAUCUUAGUCCACUAAUAGUACCAGGCCCCCCCAUGCAGACAUGGCCGUGAUUAUGCCAAUAUGAGUAAUAAGAGAUAGAAUCUCUCCCAGCACAAGUGUACAUCAGAUCGAACCCCUCACUGAAUAUUAACGGCCCUAUAAGAAGAAAAUGAUUAAAAAAAAGACAACUAGAAAAACAAUCAUCUCCCCCCGUUAAACUGACACAAGAGUGCGCACUGGGAAAGACACAAUAAAAAGGAAGGAACUCGGCAAACUCUACCACCUUAGCCUCGCCUGUUUACCAAAAACAUCGCCUCUUGAAAUUCACACAUAAGAGGUCCCGCCUGCCCCGUGAUCACGAAUUUAACGGCCGCGGUACUCUGACCGUGCAAAGGUAGCGCAAUCACUUGUCUUUUAAAUGAAGACCUGUAUGAACGGCACAACGAGGGCUUAACUGUCUCCCCCUUUUAGUCAAUGAAAUUGAUCUCCCCGUGCAGAAGCGGGGAUAAAAACAUAAGACGAGAAGACCCUGUGGAGCUUUAGACACAAGGUCAGCCCAUGCUAUAAAAAUUGUAAAAACAAACAAAGCAAUUGGAACCUGCCCCACUGUCUUUGGUUGGGGCGACCACGGGGUAAUGAAUAACCCCCGCGUAGAACUAAGGCACACCCCUUAAAAACAAGAAACACAACUCUAGCCAGCAGAACAUCUGACUAUACCGAUCCAGCAAAGCUGAUCAACGGACCGAGUUACCCCAGGGAUAACAGCGCAAUCCUCUUACAGAGUCCAUAUCGACAAGAGGGUUUACGACCUCGAUGUUGGAUCAGGACAUCCUAAUGGUGCAGCCGCUAUUAAGGGUUCGUUUGUUCAACGAUUAAAGUCCUACGUGAUCUGAGUUCAGACCGGAGCAAUCCAGGUCAGUUUCUAUCUAUGCGACAUUCUUUUCUAGUACGAAAGGACCGAAAAGAAGGGGCCCCUGCCCCCCGCACGCCUCACCCCUAACUGCUGACAGCAACUAAAGCAGGCAAAGGGGUGUACCGCCACGCUGUAGAAAACAGCUU
rnacentral:rRNA from 1 species